rnacentral:lncRNA from 1 species
AAGUUAGCCACCUCAAUAAAUGCUUAAUUGCUUGAUGCAGCCUCACCACUUAACCAUACCGCACCCAUUAAACUUUGCUAAUCUUGAUACCUUUGGAAAUGAGAUUCCUCAGUCCCUCUGGCGCAUAGAUUACUACAAUAACUGUUGCAGGUGCAGGUAAAGCGAUAAUUUGACGUGAGCACGAUGAUUGUGCUAUUUGGAGUUUCUUCUUCUUCAUCGUCGAUCUAGAAUGGGUUCUAGGCCAGUAGACUGGGAUA